rnacentral:lncRNA from 1 species
AUUUUACUGUCCCAUGUAGUAUGAUAUUUUAUACCUUAUAUGCAGCAAUAAUUAUAAAUGAUUGCAUUAAUUCUUUUAACUAAGCAAAGCCUUCUCUGUAGGUUAUAAUUCCAUAAGCAAUAUCAUUACCAGUAAUAAGAGUGUAAUAAAUGUAUAUUCAAAGUUUAAAUCAAAUUGGGAAUGGAAAUGGGGAGUGUGUCAAAGAGACAGCAACCUGACCAAAAAGUAGAAAACAGCCCAAGGCCAUCAAUUUGUAUGCCAAAGGGCUUAGGGCAACAAUUCGAUCGUACAUAUAUAGCC